rnacentral:rRNA from 1 species
AAUGGGCGAAAGCCUGAUGCAGCGACGCCGCGUGAGGGAUGACGGCCUUCGGGUUGUAAACCUCUUUCAGCAGGGAAGAAGCGAAAGUGACGGUACCUGCAGAAGAAGCACCGGCUAACUACGUGCCAGCAGCCGCGGUAAUACGUAGGGUGCGAGCGUUGUCCGGAAUUAUUGGGCGUAAAGAGCUUGUAGGCGGUUUGUCGCGUCUGCUGUGAAAAUCCGGGGCUCAACCCCGGACUUGCAGUGGGUACGGGCAGACUAGAGUGUGGUAGGGGAGACUGGAAUUCCUGGUGUAGCGGUGAAAUGCGCAGAUAUCAGGAGGAACACCGAUGGCGAAGGCAGGUCUCUGGGCCACUACUGACGCUGAGAAGCGAAAGCAUGGGGAGCGAACAGGAUUAGAUACCCUGGUAGUCCAUGCCGUAAACGUUGGGCGCUAGGUGUGGGACUCAUUCCACGAGUUCCGUGCCGCAGCUAACGCAUUAAGCGCCCCGCCUGGGGAG